UCGACUAAGGUUCGAUUCGAGCGUCAGCGAGAAAGCGUUGCCGCAGGCAACGACCCGAAGGGCGAAGCGCGCAGCGCUGAGUCAUCCUUCCCCCACCACCA
rnacentral:sRNA from 2 species